GAUGAACGCUAGCUACAGGCUUAACACAUGCAAGUCGAGGGGAAACGGCAUUAAGUGCUUGCACUUUUUGGACGUCGACCGGCGCACGGGUGAGUAACGCGUAUCCAACCUUCCCAUGACUAAGGGAUAACCUGCCGAAAGGCAGACUAAUACCUUAUGGUCUUCACUGACGGCAUCAGAUGUGAAGUAAAGAUUUAUCGGUUAUGGAUGGGGAUGCGUCUGAUUAGCUUGUUGGCGGGGUAACGGCCCACCAAGGCAACGAUCAGUAGGGGUUCUGAGAGGAAGGUCCCCCACAUUGGAACUGAGACACGGUCCAAACUCCUGCGGGAGGCAGCAGUGAGGAAUAUUGGUCAAUGGGCGAGAGCCUGAACCAGCCAAGUAGCGUGCAGGAUGACGGCCCUAUGGGUUGUAAACUGCUUUUGUAUGGGGAUAAAGUCAAUCACGUGUGAUUGUUUGCAGGUACCAUACGAAUAAGGACCGGCUAAUUCCGUGCCAGCAGCCGCGGUAAUACGGAAGGUCCGGGCGUUAUCCGGAUUUACUGGGUUUAAAGGGAGCGUAGGCUGGAGAUUAAGUGUGUUGUGAAAUGUAGACGCUCAACGUCUGACUUGCAGCGCAUACUGGUUUCCUUGAGUACGCACAACGUUGGCGGAAUUCGUCGUGUAGCGGUGAAAUGCUUAGAUAUGACGAAGAACUCCGAUUGCGAAGGCAGCUGACGGGAGCGCAACUGACGCUGAAGCUCGAAGGUGCGGGUAUCGAACAGG
rnacentral:rRNA from 1 species